rnacentral:rRNA from 1 species
GAAAUCCUGUGGCGAGAGGAUUCAGUCUGGAUAGGCGGACGUGGCUGUGGAAGCAGUAAGGGCAUCCCCGGACGGGGUCCGUCCGCGGCUGCGACUUUCGUCGUUCCAGACGCAUUUGUCUCUCGUCCGAAGGACGCUGCAGCCGGUCUGGCAGUGCAAGCGUGACGGCCUGAAGGUCGGGAGCUGGCAGGUGGCCGGUGGCGCGUCUCGUGCGUGUCGUCGGUUGUUAUCCGUCCCGUCAGUGGCCCGUCGCCAGACCGUGGUGUCGCGAGUCCCUCGCGGGACUCCUCGUCUCCACCCCGGAGUUGCGGGACAGACCGUGGCAAGGGUGUCGCGUUCAUCCGUCGCACGACCACGUCGUGGACGGAGAAACGAGGCUCCCCGUUGGCUGUGGCGGACCCGUCGGGGACAGGAGGCUGGCAGCGAGUAGGUCGGUCACCCACCCGACCCGUCUUGAAACACGGACCAAGGAGUCUAACAUGUGCGCGAGUCAAUGGGUCUUGACUAGGCCCAGGGGCGCAAUGAAAGUGAAGAGAGGCCGAUCGCCUCUCGAGCGGGGAUCCCUCUUCUUCGGAGGGGGGCGCACCCGCGACCCGUCCUGUGCGGCUCGCCGCAUGGGUGGAGUCUGAGCGUACACGUUGGGACCCGAAAGAUGGUGAACUAUGCCCGGGCAGA